rnacentral:rRNA from 1 species
AGAGGUGGCAAGCGUUGUUCGGAAUUACUGGGCGUAAAGGGCGCGUAGGCGGCCUACUAAGUCAGACGUGAAAUCCCCCGGCUUAACCUGGGAACUGCGUCUGAUACUGGAAGGCUUGAGGAUGGGAGAGGGAUGUAGAAUUCCAGGUGUAGCGGUGAAAUGCGUAGAUAUCUGGAGGAAUACCGGUGGCGAAGGCGGCAUCCUGGACCAUCACUGACGCUGAGGCGCGAAAGCUAGGGGAGCAAACGGGAUUAGAUACCCCGGUAGUCCUAGCCCUAAACGAUGAAUACUUGGUGUGGCGGGUAUCGAUCCCUGCCGUGCCGAAGCUAACGCAUUAAGUAUUCCGCCUGGGAGUACGGUCGCAAGGCUG